rnacentral:lncRNA from 1 species
AACAAAAGGGUUUGAGAUCUUAAAAAAUUUUUCUCGAGCAAAUGGCCCGAUUUGAGGACAAAUCGCCUUAAAGAGGGAGGGGAUGAUACGACCACGGCCCGAGCACAUUUUUCGAUCAGCUUCAUAAGUAUUUCUUGCAUACCCAUGCGAGCUAAAUUAGCUCAAUUGCAUCUCACUGAGCUUUGUUUAGCUCGUUUCCAGCUCAAUGGGAUCGUUUUGCUCAAUUUGAGUUUAUUUUAAUUCUUUUGAUUUCAUUUGCUGAAAUAAAUUGAAUAAGUUAGUUUAUUUAUUUAAUUC